rnacentral:rRNA from 1 species
GAUGAACGCUAGCGGCAGGCCUAAUACAUGCAAGACGAACGGUAAGUUGAGUAGCAAUACUUAGCCAAGAGUGUCGUACGGGUGCGUAACACGUAUGCAACCUACCCUAUACAGGAGGAUAGCCUAGGGAAACCUGGAUUAACCCUUCAUAGUAUUAUUGGAUGGCAUCAUUUGAUAAUUAAAACUGAGGUGGUAUAGGAUGGGCAUGCGUCUGAUUAGUUAGUUGGCGGGGUAAUGGCCCACCAAGACGAUGAUCAGUAGGGGUUCUGAGAGGAAGAUCCCCCACACUGGCACUGAGAUACGGGCCAGACUCCUACGGGAGCAGCAGUAGGGAAUAUUGGGUCAAUGGAUGCAAGUCUGAACCAGCCAUGCCGCGUGCAGGAAGAAGGCCUUUCUGGGGUUGUAAACUGCUUUUGCCAGGGGAUAAAAUUUCCAUGCGUGGAAAACUGAAGGUACCUGGUGAAUAAGCCACGGCUAACUACGUGCCAGCAGCCGCGGUAAU